rnacentral:snRNA from 1 species
GUGUUCCCUUCUGCAGCACAUAUACUAAAAUUGGAACGAUACAGAGAAGAUUAGCAUGGCCCCUGCACAAGGAUGACAUGCAAAUUUGCGAAGAGUUCCAUGUUUAA